GCGUAGAGCUCGUCCCCGUCCUUGUCCGUCCCCGGCAGCGGCGUCUCGUUCUGAGCAUGGCAUGCGUGGCGGUUAAACUCCUUGGCCUUCUCAUCGGCGCGCUAGGUACGUCGGCACUGUGAGAUCAGAUGACUCCAUGGCUACAGUCUGAAUCGGCAGACGUGGUACUCCGUGGCACUGCCUAACAGUCAGUGAGGUGCGUAUGGCUGCAGCAUUUCUGGUAGAAGUAGUUGUUGCUGGCCGUGUCUCUGGGACUAGUGUCUGUUCUACCGUCUUCGGUCUGCCAACUGGAUAGUUUUCUUCUGUUUCCUCUGCACAUUUAGUUAGAACGAAUGAAGGAGUGCCGGCGUGCCAAUCUUUGAUCAGAUAAUAACGAAAUGGCGAGCGUCUCUAUAAU
rnacentral:lncRNA from 1 species